AAGCAGGAUUUAACUACAAUAUGGCUGGUAUGUUCAAAACAAUGUUGUUUCUUAACUAUACCUGUCUGCUAUGUAGCAGCCAGGGACACUUGGUCUCAUACAU
rnacentral:snoRNA from 1 species